rnacentral:rRNA from 1 species
GACGAACGCUGGCGGCGUGCUUAACACAUGCCAGUCGAACGGAAAGGCCCUGCUUUUGUGGGGUGCUCGAGUGGCGAACGGGUGAGUAACACGUGAGUAACCUGCCCUUGACUUUGGGAUAACUUCAGGAAACUGGGGCUAAUACCGGAUAGGAGCUCCUGCUGCAUGGUGGGGGUGGGAAAGUUUCGGCGGUUGGGGAUGGACGCGCGGCUUAUCAGCUGGUUGGUGGGGUAGUGGCUUACCAAGGCUUUGACGGGUAGCCGGCCUGAGAGGGUGACCGGCCACAUUGGGACUGAGAUACGGCCCAGACUCCUACGGGAGGCAGCAGUGGGGAAUAUUGCACAAUGGGCGGAAGCCUGAUGCAGCAACGCCGCGUGCGGGAUGACGGCCUUCGGGUUGUAAACCGCUUUCGCCUGUGACGAAGCGUGAGUGACGGUAAUGGGUAAAGAAGCACCGGCUAACUACGUG